CCUACGGGCGGCAGCAGUGAGGAAUAUUGGUCAAUGGACGAGAGUCUGAACCAGCCAAGUAGCGUGAAGGAUGACUGCCCUAUGGGUUGUAAACUUCUUUUAUAUGGGAAUAAAAUGUUCCACGUGUGGGAUUUUGUAUGUACCAUAUGAAUAAGGAUCGGCUAACUCCGUGCCAGCAGCCGCGGUAAUACGGAGGAUCCGAGCGUUAUCCGGAUUUAUUGGGUUUAAAGGGAGCGUAGGUGGAUUGUUAAGUCAGUUGUGAAAGUUUGCGGCUCAACCGUAAAAGUGCAGUUGAAACUGGCAGUCUUGAGUACAGUAGAGGUGGGCGGAAUUCGUGGUGUAGCGGUGAAAUGCUUAGAUAUCACGAAGAACUCCGAUUGCGAAGGCAGUUCACUGGACUGCAACUGACACUGAGGCUCGAAAGUGUGGGUAUCAAACAGGAUUAGAUACCCUUGUAGUC
rnacentral:rRNA from 1 species